CCCCGGGCCCGUCGUCCUCGUCCUCGGGGGAGCCGGGUCCGUGCGGCCCUCCGCUCGCUCGCAAGUCCCAGGCCGGGACUGCCCGGAGCCCCGAGGCUCCCGGAGCCGGGCCCGUGCACCCCCGGGAGCGAGGGAUGUGGGACUGGACUCAGCUGCCCGUCUUCCUGUGCCUCUUUCCCGACCUACUGGAGCACAGGCUCCAAUUUUAGAGGCCGUGGAGGAGGGAGCCUCGCCCAGCCGGCUAGCACGGCUGUCCCCUGCCACCGCUCUUGGCAGUCCGGGCUAAGGCCAAGGGGGAGUGCUGUGCGCUUGGGGCCGGGUCGCUGCGCACCCGGGGCUGACCUCAGUGACUCAGACCACGUGAGCCUGACUCCCAAAAGGCAAAUCCUGAAGGAAGCCUUCUCCAGCCAGGCUUAGAUCAGACUUGUCCACGUUUACCAAGGGCUUGUCUGCCAAAGGCCUUGGCAGGCACGGUUGGGCUGAGCCCUUGUCACUAGAGCCAGGCACCAUCAAGGUAGGACAAGUCACUUCCUCACCCUACACCGCUGAGACAGACAAACGCUUAAAGAAAGUUCGAAUAAAAUAAAAUCAUCUAAAAAAGAAGAAAAAGCAAAGGACAGCUUGUUCACAGUGAAAGUAGGAUCAUUCCAGGCCGGCUAGGACACCUGGAACUGCACUGGUGACCACCAUAUGUCCCUCCCAGCCUCAGGAAGGUGCUGUGGGAAAUUCCCACGGUGCCCUCUCAUGGGGAAAAAAAGCAGUAGAGAUAUCUCUACUUCUCCACACCUUCACAUGAUAAAGGCCUUUCGAUUUGGCUUCUUUCCAAAUUACAAGCAAACAUGGAAGGCAGUGGCUUUUUAUUUGAUCCUCUUAUGCAUAGAUUAUUGCUGGCAGAGGGGACCUUAUGCCCCCCAGACCCACUUCCCAGUGCAUGGAGGAAUGCUUUCAGAGCGGCAAGCCUUGCACCCUCUUCCCAGACAUUCAACUCAAAGCAGAGCUUGACAGGAAUGACUUACAACUGCUCCACAUGGCAUCCACAGAGAUGGCUCAGAGACUGGACAAUCCACUUUCAAUACGGAUCACUCAUGUGGCUGGCAAAUUAAUGCUGGCUAUUGGUUGGCAGUUCGGCUGGUCUGGGGCCUGGGAGCAAGGGGCCUUGCUUCUUCUUCAAGUGGGCUUCUUUCAGCUUCUUGGGCUUCUUCACUGGAUGAUGGUGGAAUUCCCAGAACAAAGAAAUCCAAAGCAAAGAUUUUAUUAUAUUUAUUGAGAGAGCAAGAGCGGGAUGGAGAGGGAAGACAAUCUGAAGCUGAGUCCCCACUGAGUGUAGAGCCCAAUGCUUGGCUCCAUCCCAGGACUCUGAGAUCACCAUCUGAGCCGAAACCAAGAGUCAGAUGCUCAACCAACUGAGCCACCCAGGCACCCCUUUUCCUUUUUUUGGUUUUUACCCCAUAAAUUGGAUGCUUUAUUGAUGUCUAUAAUGUGUGCCACCAAGGAAUACAUCUCUAUAGUUUCCCUUUGCCUGUAUUUAAGCUUUUUACAAAUGAUUCAUAUUAGGAUCAUAUGGUUCAUAUUAGGAAUAAUUUUUGUUACCACUUUCUUUAUCGAAAGUUAAGUUUGUGAAGUUGAUGAAUGUCAUUGUGUGAGCUGUGCUUUGUUCAUUUUCAUUGCUGCCUGGUACCCUGUGAUAUAAAUAUAGGACAGUUGAUCAACAGUGCUGUAGAUGGACCAUUGACCACUUCCAGGUUUGUUGAUUAACAUUCUUGUCCACAAUCCUAGUGCAAAUUGCAUGAGCUGCUUUGGUGCAUAUCCCUAACAAGGAUAUUAUAGAUGCUUCUAUUAUUAAUUAAUGCCAAACUGUACCAUUUUAUACUCCUACCAGCCAGUAGGAGAGUUCCUGCUCUAAAGCCCUAUUACCAUAAUCUGAUUUUGCCAGAUUUUUUUCUUGUUUAUGGUAGCUUUGGAAUAGAAAACAAUACCUUAAUCCUAUCUUAACUCACCUUCCUGCAUGCCAUCUUUCCAAAGAGUAAGAAUGUUUUCCCCUUCAGAGUUUGCCCCCUCUGAUGCAUAGCUCUUAACUGUUUGACUUGGUUGGAAAUACUUGGCUGAAUAUACAGAUGCCAGAGAUAGAAUAUGCCUGCAUUAGCAAAACUCUGGAUCCUUCCAUUUCUGCUUUAUAGGCUCACUAGAUUUAGCUGGAGUUGUCUCUCUCAUGACUUUGCCCAAAGCAAUAAAAAUAAGCCAUCAUUCUGGAUCUUUCUUACCGUUUCUCUAAUGCUACAGAUUUGGUCAAAUUGUAGUCUACCAUCCAAAGUAGUGCAGGCCUCAAAACCUGACCAAACAUUCUAUCACCAUGGAAUUUGAGGUACCUGCUUCUCAGCCUAUGCCCAGCUAUAAAAAUCAAGGAAGCUGUUAGUGUGGAAGAAGGGAGGAUGGGCAUUGGUGGACCACCAGCAUUCUUGGCCACAGCUUCCUUCUGGCAUCACCUUUUUCUCCCCUUAUUAACUUUAUUUUUGUUGUCUGGAAAAGUCCUUAUAUUGUCCUAGUUCUUGAAUAACAGAGUUGGGUUGACCAUUUUUCUCAUUCAACCAUCUUCCAUCUCUCUUGAUGGGGAAUACUCAGGUGCUCUUUUCCUCCUUGGCUGCUUUCAAGAACACUUUUGUUUUUGGUGUUUCCAUGAUUCCUCAACAAUGCAAAGGACGGGUUUUUAAAAAUUGAUCCUACUUGGUACACAGUGGGAUUCCUGAAUUUGCGGAUUUGUGAGAAUUUCAGAAAGUUCUCAGCCUUUUCUUGUUGACAGUGAUUUUCCUCAUUCUCUCUUCUUCUGUUGCAAUUUCCCACUAGAUGUUUGACUUUCUCAUUUUUAUCCUGUUAACUUCUUUCUGCCCCUCUGUAUCUGUUCUUCUUGUAACUUUUUCAUGCUUUUCUAGUUCACGAAACUUCCCUCCAACAGUGUCUUAUUGUUAAAUCUGUCCAUUGUAUUUUAAAUUGUGAUAUUUCUUCAUUUCUAAAUUGCAAUUGCAGAAUAUUAAUAGGCAUUGUUUUGAAAAGCCAAUUUGCUUAACAGAAUUAUAUCUGUAUGAAAUGAUAUACACUUGUACAAAAAAGUUAUCCUCUAAAAAAAAAUUAUCCUCUAUAACAGAUUUUGAAAUAAACAUCAAACCAGGCCGUUCAUUCCUUCAGGCUUGAGAGCCUCUGAGGCCCUGAGCAGAGUCCUGUGUAUGGCCAUGAUGGUCUGGAGAACUACUUUCCCAUGCUUAAGGCUGUAACUUUCUCUUGCAAAUCAUAAAUGGAAGACACCUUUGGGUUGGGAUAGGGUAUUGGAUAGAAGGAAAUGCAGAGGCCAGUGGCCCAGCAGGUGGUGCAGGGCCUUUUGGUGGCGACAUGAUGAUGGGCACUUCUGGCAAUGUGCGGUGCUCUUGGCACCAGUGUGAACUGAGCCAACAACCCACGGAAAGGGGAAAGUGCUCUUUAGGACACUUUCAGGAGGAUACAGAAGGGGGCAGAACUGGGGUAGGUGUCUUAAGUGGUUUGAGAUUUUUUUUCCUGGUCCCCAACUCAUUUCCAGAAAUAUCUAAAGGAAAAGGGAGGGGGAGAAAUGUAGAUGAAUUUUCUGUGGGGGCAGACAGUAGAGAUCGAGAUCUAUACCUUUCACAGAGCAUGGGCUCCAAGGGAUUCCAGGGCCUAUGGUAAAGGCCCCAGUUCCCCAUGAGAACAGAUCUCUCUCAGCUCCACCUGGUGAGACUGGGCUUAGAUUCCUCUUUCCAGAGGGGUUUCUUUACUCUCUUUUGAUUCUCUCAAUGAUUCUAUUUGCUUCUCUUCUCUAUAGCUUAAUGCCUAGGAUUCUUGUUUCAGACAUAACUUUUUCUCCAUGUUUCCAUCAUCCUCACUUCUGAUCCCAUAAAAAAUGGUUUGCUUGUUAACUAAUUAUUUGCCUCUCCAAUCAACAUAUAGGUACCAAGGUCACAGGCUUUGUUUUCAUUCACCACUCUAUUCCCAACGUUUAGAAUACUGUUUGGCCUGGAGUAAGUCCUUAAUAAAUAUUUAUUGAAUGUUGAA